CAGCCGCCGCGGGAAUACGUAGGGCGCAAGCGUUGUCCGGAAUUAUUGGGCGUAAAGAGCUCGUAGGCGGUCUGUCGCGUCUGGUGUGAAAUCCCGAGGCUCAACCUCGGGCUUGCAUCGGGUACGGGCAGACUAGAGUGCGGUAGGGGAGACUGGAAUUCCUGGUGUAGCGGUGGAAUGCGCAGAUAUCAGGAGGAACACCGAUGGCGAAGGCAGGUCUCUGGGCCGCAACUGACGCUGAGGAGCGAAAGCAUGGGGAGCGAACAGGAUUAGAUACCCGCGUAGUCCCUGUCUCUUAUAC
rnacentral:rRNA from 1 species